rnacentral:rRNA from 1 species
AUUGAACGCUGGCGGCAGGCCUAACACAUGCAAGUCGAGCGGUUGAAGGGAGCUUGCUCCCUGAUUCAGCGGCGGACGGGUGAGUAAUGCCUAGGAAUCUGCCUAUUAGUGGGGGACAACGUUUCGAAAGGAACGCUAAUACCGCAUACGUCCUACGGGAGAAAGCAGGGGACCUUCGGGCCUUGCGCUGAUAGAUGAGCCUAGGUCGGAUUAGCUUGUUGGUGAGGUAAUGGCUCACCAAGGCGACGAUCCGUAACUGGUCUGAGAGGAUGAUCAGUCACACUGGAACUGAGACACGGUCCAGACUCCUACGGGAGGCAGCAGUAGGGAAUAUUGGACAAUGGGCGAAAGCCUGAUCCAGCCAUGCCGCGUGUGUGAAGAAGGUCUUCGGAUUGUAAAGCACUUUAAGUUGGGAGGAAGGGUUGUAGAUUAAUACUCUGCAAUUUUGACGUUACCGACAGAAUAAGCACCGGCUAACUCUGUGCCAGCCGCCGCAGUAA